rnacentral:rRNA from 1 species
GUGGGGAAUUUUGGACAAUGGGGGCAACCCUGAUCCAGCCAUUCCGCGUGAGUGAAGAAGGCCUUCGGGUUGUAAAGCUCUUUCGGCAGGAACGAAACGGUGAGCUCUAACAUAGCUCGCUAAUGACGGUACCUGAAGAAGAAGCACCGGCUAACUACGUGCCAGCAGCCGCGGUAAUACGUAGGGUGCGAGCGUUAAUCGGAAUUACUGGGCGUAAAGCGUGCGCAGGCGGUUGUGUAAGACAGGUGUGAAAUCCCCGGGCUUAACCUGGGAACUGCGCUUGUGACUGCACGGCUAGAGUAUGGCAGAGGGGGGUGGAAUUCCACGUGUAGCAGUGAAAUGCGUAGAGAUGUGGAGGAACACCGAUGGCGAAGGCAGCCCCCUGGGCCAAUACUGACGCUCAUGCACGAAAGCGUGGGGAGCAAACAGGAUUAGAUACCCCUGUAGUCC